GCAAGUCGAACGAGAGAUAGAAAGCUUGCUUUCUUGAUCUAGUGGCAAACGGGUUAGUCACGCGUGGGCAAUCUACCUCGAGGCGGGGGAUACCGUUUCGAAAGGAAUGUUAAUACCGCAUAAUAUUUAAAUGUCUUCGGGCGUUUUUAUCAAAGCUGGGGAUCUUCGGACCUGGCGCCAUGGGAGGAGCUCGCGUCAGAUUAGCUAGUUGGUGGGGUAAUGGCCUACCAAGGCAACGAUGUGUAGCCGGCCUGAGAGGGUGAUC
rnacentral:rRNA from 1 species